AGGCCGAUAAUGUCUCAGCUUCAACCACCACAUGUGCGCUCAUGUCUUGUUGUUGAUGCACCAAACACUUCCACUGCAAGCCUGUCCUGAACUGACUUUUCUCCAUUUUAAAGAAGACUUGUCGGUUGUUGAAAAUCACUUUGUCCACGUGACGUUCUGGGUGAACGUAUCGACCUGUAACGAGAAGAAUACUUCACACAGAAUACUUGUUCACACCAGGACGAAGACCGGAAGUCUAGAGUAUGACGGGACGAUUAUCUACUGGAGAGACUCGUGUACUGAGAGACCAGAGAAGUCAGUUCAGUGCAUCAGCCCAACAGGUCCAGCAGAGCUGAAUAGAACAGUGAACCGCUCUCACAUGCAGAUUGAGUGGGAGUUGAUUUCUACACACUCUGAUUCUCCUACCUUCAUACGAACGAAUCUGACUGUGUUGUAUCCACCCAAAGUCUCAAGCUUCACUAUAGAUAAAAAUGAGGCCAAUGGCAACUAUCUUAUUAAUGAAGGAAAAGCAGUUGACAUUUCCUGCUCGUUUGACAAGGGAAACCCUCAAACUGUCUUCUUCCUGUUGGAUAAAACUGGGAAAGAAAUAAAUACUUCUAGAUCAGAAGAACAACUCACACAUUCCCUGACCGUCAGAUGUCAGGAUGACUGGCCAAUUGUUGGAUGUGAAGGAGCCGGUUCAGAAAAGAACACAUCAGUGACACUUCUUGCCAAGUGUCGUCCUCAGUUUCUUGACAGGUAUCCGAGGGUUGUAGUCAGCGGAAUAUACGAAAACUGGGUGUUCAACAUAAAGUCCCACACUACAGUCGUAGAGAAAUGUCUUUUGUGGUCGUUGCCAUCUGGAAACAAUUUAAGCAGUAAAGUGAACUGUAACCUUUUGGGGGAUCCGCCUAUCCUGCUGCUGACUGUCGCCAUUUUAGGAAACGCCAGUACUAAAGAGAAAAUCUGGUCCUUAGGUCUCUAUGUUGAAGGAGGUUUUUCAGAGACAUUAGUCUUCACCAAGCAUUUAGGCGAGUAUCUUCAGCACGUUAAGUAUCUCUGGGUUAAUAAUAUUUACCCACUGCUAGACAAAACAAUAUUCUUUAACCUCAUUGUCACUCACACACACACACACACACACAGAUACAAACUGUAUUUUUCAGAGAAACUUGUCAAGAUUUUCGUACUCAGUUUGCAAUAGGAGUGCUUAUCUUGACUCGUAUUUGCAUAUUAGGCGACUUGUUCGGACAAAUUUUACAAUACACCCCGAAAAGAUGAGGGUUUUGUCUCCGUACAUAACGUUUCGGUGUGGGUGUGGGUGUACCUGAGGACGUGUGUGAACGCACAUUCGUCUUUGUCUUCUGUUCUUGCCGAUUCGAAAAGAAGUUGCUUACUUAGCAUUAAAGAAACCAGUUUUAUACGCCAACAAAAAGAUGAUCAGAAAAAUAAGAACGGUAAUAAGCUUCAUAAGCUCAACAUGAUGCCUUUUAAUUCUGCUACACUUUGCAGAGAAAAAACAUUUGUGAGUCAGAGUCAGUCAAGAGGAUCCAUUUAUUCCGUAUAUGAAAUUUUUGCUGUCAAUGGGUAUUUCCCAUGUCAUCCACAAAUAGUGGACACGAGUAAACUCGGCUAUUGAAAACGAAAGUAAAGAAAUAUCCAAACGAUCAGGAAAUACUGUUCAAGAGUUCAUGAUGACCGUCAGAAAUUUCUCUGAAAAUUAACUAUAGGAAUAGACACUGUUGAACACAAACAGCUGUUGUUGCAGGUAAGACUCCGAUUUAUUUCACACUACAAAACCAGCAAAAGGUAGCCUGCUACUAUUAUACUUUUAACUGGGAUAUUUUGUAUUUAUGUCUCUUUUCUACCCCAAUAGAUCUUCUACAUUAUAUUAUGUGGCAGCCAUUGAUAGCUGAUUUCCAACCAAACUGCAAAGAAUCAUUACUGACCUAUUCUAAUGUUUGCUUUCUUCCUCUGACUGCUAAAACAAACGCUAUUUCUAAUCCCUACAUUAGACGAUCAGUAAAAGGAAAACUUAACUAAAUCUUUGGAAGUCAGAGAGUUUCGCAGGAUUUCGCCAGUACUUGGAAAUGAUGUGGUGUGUAGACCAAAAAAGUAUCGUCUAUAGUAGUAAGGGACUCAGACCCGUCAGAUUCAAAUACGUUUGUGAAUACAUUACCCCUACAUUACUUCUCUCUCUCUUUCUACCAUUUAAAAAGGGGGUAGGUGGUGAAUAAAAAGCUAAAUCUCCUGUCACCAUGAGAGUCGGGGGUCUUGGUAAACACUGAAAAACUUUUGGACAGACUCCUAUUUGCAUGGGUAUGCGUCAUGGGCUCCUGCGGUAAUCCUGUUCCCUCCAACCUGUGUGUGAGUUCGUGUCUGUAAGCGUCAUAGGUAUGAGUUAUACAAAAUAAAUUACAUGAAUUUAAAAUCCUUAUGUCCGCCUUCGCUGGAACUCUGUAAAUAAACAUGACGACGACGACGAAGACGACGACGACGACGACGAUGAUGAUGAUGAUGAAUGAUGAUGAUGAUGAUGAUGAUGAUGAUGAUGAUGAUGAUGAUGAUGAUGAUGAUGAUGAUGAUGAUGAUGAUGAUGAUGAUGAUGAUUUGGUUUGCAGAUUUAUAUAGAACAUAAACGAGCAAUCGACAUUUGAGCCUGUGCUACCACUGCCAAGAAUGUGUGAAGACAAACGCAAUUGAAUGAUGGACAUUUGUAUCAGCUGUUACACAGAGUCGGCAUUAGAAGGCUAAAGGUGUGGCUAGUUUCGGACGAUCUCAAUGGUAGGCCUGUGCGAGUUAAAUUUCGAAAGAAAAGACGCCAGGAAAGCUAAAUUUCCCAGAAAAUGUUGUUCAUUGAUUCCUAAUCAACCAAAGCUAUAAGAAAUUAAACUAUUUUGAUUUGAAUUUCCAGGUCAUGGGCAGUGGACUAGGGCAAAGGUCUUUUUGCCUCUCAGAGGUUUGGCUGUUGUACUUAUCUUGUACCACGUAUUUAUUUGUUCCUGCUAUUUUUCAUGUCUGAUUAAAAUAGUCGAAACAAGCACAAAUGAAAACUGAAAGCGAAAAAAAGCAAAGAAAAGUGAAAGAAAAAACAAUGAAAGGAAGAAACAAAGGAAAGCAAUGAGACCAUUGUUUCUUUUUGAAACUUUAAAACCUAAUGAUAACAUCUUCCUUCCAGAAGAACGCUGGUUGUGUUUUAUGCUUUUUACUUGUUAACAAAAUAUGUUUUAUAUGUCUGCCAUACACUUGAAGAAUUUAAAUGUGUUUUUGGAGACAAGGUCUUCUCAUACUUUACGAAAAUGAACAUACCUUUCAUUGACUCUCAGGCUUACAGAUCUUGGCUUGUAUGAUUCUCACGUGAUACGAUGUCUGUG